rnacentral:rRNA from 1 species
UACGUAGGGGGCAAGCGUUGUCCGGAAUCAUUGGGCGUAAAGAGCGUGUAGGCGGCCAGGUAGGUCUGCUGUGAAAACUCGAGGCUUAACCUCGAGACGUCGGCGGAAACCAUCUGGCUAGAGUCCGGAAGAGGAGAGUGGAAUUCCUGGUGUAGCGGUGAAAUGCGCAGAUAUCAGGAAGAACACCCGUGGCGAAGGCGGCUCUCUGGGACGGUACUGACGCUGAGACGCGAAAGCGUGGGGAGCGAACAGG